GAUGAACGCUGGCGGCGUGCCUAAUACAUGCAAGUCGAGCGAACGGACGAGAAGCUUGCUUCUCUGAUGUUAGCGGCGGACGGGUGAGUAACACGUGGAUAACCUACCUAUAAGACUGGGAUAACUUCGGGAAACCGUAGCUAAUACCGGAUGAUAUUUUGAACCGCAUGGUUCAAAAGUGAAAGACGGUCUUGCUGUCACUUAUAGAUGGAUCCGCGCUGCAUUAGCUAGUUGGUAAGGUAACGGCUUACCAAGGCAACGAUGCAUAGCCGACCUGAGAGGGUGAUCGGCCACACUGGAAAUGAGACACGGUCCAGACUCCUACGGGAGGCAGCAGUAGGGAAUCUUCCGCAAUGGGCGAAAGCCUGACGGAGCAACGCCGCGUGAGUGAUGAAGGUCUUCGGAUCGUAAACCUCUGUUAUUAGGGAAGAACAUAUGUGUAAGUAACUGUGCACAUCUUGACGGUACCUAAUCAGAAAGCCACGGCUAACUACGUG
rnacentral:rRNA from 1 species